UACGGAAGGCAGCAGUGGGGAAUAUUGCACAAUGGGCGCAAGCCUGAUGCAGCCAUGCCGCGUGUAUGAAGAAGGCCUUCGGGUUGUAAAGUACUUUCAGUCGUGAGGAAGGUGUUAAGGUUAAUAACCUUAGCAAUUGACGUUAGCGACAGAAGAAGCACCGGCUAACUCCGUGCCAGCAGCCGCGGUAAUACGGAGGGUGCGAGCGUUAAUCGGAAUUACUGGGCGUAAAGGGCACGCAGGCGGUUAAUUAAGUUGGAUGUGAAAUCCCCGGGCUUAACCUGGGAAUGGCAUUCAAGACUGGUUAGCUAGAGUCUUGUAGAGGGGGUUAGAAUUCCAUGUGUAGCGGUGAAAUGCGUAGAGAUGUGGAGGAAUACCGGUGGCGAAGGCGGCCCCUGGGACAAAGGCUGACGCUCAUGUGCGAAAGCGUGGGGAGCAAACAGGGAUUAGAU
rnacentral:rRNA from 1 species